rnacentral:rRNA from 1 species
UACGUAGGGUGCAAGCGUUGUCCGGAAUUAUUGGGCGUAAAGAGCUCGUAGGCGGUCUGUCGCGUCGGCUGUGAAAACUCGGGGCUCAACUCCGAGCUUGCAGUCGAUACAGGCAGGCUAGAGUUCGGCAGGGGAGACUGGAAUUCCUGGUGUAGCGGUGAAAUGCGCAGAUAUCAGGAGGAACACCGGUGGCGAAGGCGGGUCUCUGGGCCGAUACUGACGCUGAGGAGCGAAAGCGUGGGGAGCGAACAGG